UGGGGAAUUUUGGACAAUGGGCGCAAGCCUGAUCCAGCCAUGCCGCGUGCGGGAAGAGGGCCUUCGGGUUGUAAACCGCUUUUGUCAGGGAAGAAAUCUUCUGAGUUAAUACCUCGGGAGGAUGACGGUACCUGAAGAAUAAGCACCGGCUAACUACGUGCCAGCAGCCGCGGUAAUACGUAGGGUGCAAGCGCUAAUCGGAAUUACUGGGCGUAAAGCGUGCGCAGGCGGUUUUGUAAGACAGAGGUGAAAUCCCCGGGCUCAACCUGGGAACUGCCUUGUGACUGCAAGGCUUGAGUGCGGCAGAGGGGGGAUGGAAUUCCGCGUGUAGCAGUGAAAUGCGUAGAUAUGCGGAGGAACACCGAUGGCGAAGGCAAUCCCCUGGGCCUGCACUGACGCUCAUGCACGAAAGCGUGGGGAGCAAACAGGAUUAGAUAGCCCUGGUAGUCCACGCCCUAAACGAUGUCAACUGGCUUGUUGGGAAGGUUCCUUCUCAGUAACGUAGCUAACGCGUGAAGUUGACCGCCU
rnacentral:rRNA from 1 species